GCAGUCGUGGCCGAGCGGUUAAGGCGAUGGACUUGAAAUCCAUUGGGGUCUUUCCCGCGCAGGUUCGAAUCCUGCCGACUGCG
rnacentral:tRNA from 1 species